GGCUCAGGAUGAACGCUAGCUACAGGCUUAACACAUGCAAGUCGAGGGGAAACGAUAGAGAAAGCUUGCUUUUUCUAGGCGUCGACCGGCGCACGGGUGAGUAACGCGUAUCCAACCUGCCCAUCACUUGGGGAUAACCUUGCGAAAGUAAGACUAAUACCCAAUGAUAUCUCUAGAAGACAUCUGAAAGAGAUUAAAGAUUUAUCGGUGAUGGAUGGGGAUGCGUCUGAUUAGCUUGUUGGCGGGGUAACGGCCCACCAAGGCGACGAUCAGUAGGGGUUCUGAGAGGAAGGUCCCCCACAUUGGAACUGAGACACGGUCCAAACUCCUACGGGAGGCAGCAGUGAGGAAUAUUGGUCAAUGGACGAGAGUCUGAACCAGCCAAGUAGCGUGCAGGAUGACGGCCCUAUGGGUUGUAAACUGCUUUUAUAAGGGAAUAAAGUGGGAGUCGUGACUCUUUUUGCAUGUACCUUAUGAAUAAGGACCGGCUAAUUCCGUG
rnacentral:rRNA from 1 species